rnacentral:rRNA from 1 species
AACGAACGCUGGCGGCAGGCUUAACACAUGCAAGUCGAACGGGCACCUUCGGGUGUCAGUGGCAGACGGGUGAGUAACGCGUGGGAACGUACCCUUCGGUUCGGAAUAACCCAGGGAAACUUGGGCUAACACCGGAUACGUCCGCAAGGAGAAAGAUUUAUCGCCGAAGGGUCGGCCCGCGUCGGAUUAGCUAGUUGGUGGGGUAAUGGCCCACCAAGGCGACGAUCCGUAGCUGGUCUGAGAGGAUGANCAGCCACACUGGGACUGAGACACGGCCCAGACUCCUACGGGAGGCAGCAGUGGGGAAUAUUGGACAAUGGGCGAAAGCCUGAUCCAGCCAUGCCGCGUGAGUGAAGAAGGCCUUAGGGUUGUAAAGCUCUUUCAGCGGGGAAGAUAAUGACGGUACCCGCAGAAGAAGUCCCGGCUAACUUCGUGCCAG